AGGGGUUGUGUAUGUGUUUGGCCUUUUAUUUAACUUGAGCUAAAUACAUCUAUAUCCGUUUUA
rnacentral:pre_miRNA from 1 species